rnacentral:rRNA from 1 species
UACGUAGGGUGCGAGCGUUAAUCGGAAUUACUGGGCGUAAAGCGUGCGCAGGCGGUGGCUCAAGCCAGGCGUGAAAUCCCCGGGCUUAACCUGGGAAUGGCGUUGGACUGGGUCGCUAGAGUGUGGCAGAGGGAGGUGGAAUCCACGUGAGCAGUGAAAUGCGUAGAGAUGUGGAGGAACACCGAUGGCGAAGGGCAGCCUCCUGGGCCAGCACUGACGCUCAUGCACGAAAGCGUGGGGAGCAA